AAGGAUUCGUCCAUCUCCAGCACAGAAGACCCACCAUGUGUUUUUAUCAGUAAAAGAAUCAAUCUCUACACAGAAAAAGCUGUGUAAACAAAUGUGAUGUGUCUCUUGACAAAUUGCAAAACAAAUAACAACCUUCAGGUACUUGCCGGACUGGAAAAAGAAAAUUAGAAUUGACUUACUGAGUCCACACUGAUUGCAUACCAUUAUUUUCUCUAGUUGUCAACCUCUGUCACCAAAAUUCAGUCAUUAAUCCAACCAUGAAUGCAGGAAUCACACUCUAACACUAACCGAAUAGAGAUUCCUUGUGCCAAAAGUCAUAGUUCAACAUUGCGAAUCUGAACACAACUGAGAGAAACACUUUCAAAACUAAGGGAAUCAAUACUUACCAUCAAUCACUUCAGAAAACUACCAGAUAAUUAGUGAAUUUUGCCAGAUUCAGGAAAGCAAUGCACUCUAGCUUCUUCUGUCACAGCUGGAAGAAAAAAAUUCUGGGACCAUGUAUAUAAGCCUAGUGAAAAAGAAAACAGAUCAAUUUACUCUCUCUUUCGUUUAAAUUAAAAACCCCUUCUUUCUAAGACUUUAGCUAUAACUUGUUUCUCAGUUCUUUAUCUAUUUUCCCCUUCUGUGCGAAAGAUUUGAGAAGGGGAGGAAGGAUAUGAAACAUGACUUCCUCUACAAGAAAUAUUCAUGAUAUAAACUAGAUAGUUAAUUCCUGAUCUUUCAACUUGUUACAAGAUAAUACCAUUUUACUUGCUACCCAAAUAUAAAACCACUUAUUCCAUAGAAAUUAUAGUAGUGCUGAAUAAUCAAAUUCCUUAUACUUUUACAUAAUCUAGUUAAGAAUGCUUCAACAUGUAACCAAAAAGACUACUUCUUUUAAAGUUUA
rnacentral:lncRNA from 1 species